rnacentral:rRNA from 1 species
UACGUAGGGGGCUAGCGUUGUCCGGAAUCACUGGGCGUAAAGCGCACGUAGGCGGACUCUUAAGUCAGGGGUGAAAUCCUGGAGCUCAACUCCAGAACUGCCUUUGAUACUGGGAGCCUUGAGUUCGGGAGAGGUGAGUGGAACUGCGAGUGUAGAGGUGAAAUUCGUAGAUAUUCGCAAGAACACCAGUGGCGAAGGCGGCUCACUGGCCCGAUACUGACGCUGAGGUGCGAAAGCGUGGGGAGCAAACGGG